UGUCUUGACAUCCAACCUACAAUUUCCCAGAGCUUCCCUUCAAGACCUCAAGGGAGAUAUCUUCACAGUUCAUGUGUCUUAUUGCUAUUAUUUUCAAACAAUGUGGAUGUGAUGACUUCCUUGUCUUGUUUGUGACUGUAUGGCUGAAACUGGUCCAUCAGACAAAGAACAGGAGAAAGAGAUUAUGAACCUCAGCAGGUUAAAACUGCUGCUGGAACUUAAGGCAAGGGGGACUGAAAGACCCUCCUUGUAGGCAGUGAUGUCACAUGGAAUAUCUCUGCCAGAGAGAAUGGCAGAGGUGUGCCUGGAGCAGAAGAAGGGAGACAGAGGCCUGAAGCCAUGAUUUUGUCUUCAUUCUGUGUGCAACAUAUCUCAAGGACAGAGCACUGGACUGUAAACAAAAGGGACAGCUGUAAGGUCAUGAACAUUCCUGGAAGCCUAUUAUAC